rnacentral:lncRNA from 1 species
CAUCAUCAGGCAAACAAAACAUUUUUUAAUAAAAAUGACAAAAGAACCUUGAAUAUAUCAUGUUAAGAAUAUUGCUAUAGUUACAGUAAACAAAAAAUAAACAAAAUAAAUAUUAAAAUAAACUAAAAUUAAAAUAAAAUAAAGUUCAAAAAUGGUAAUAAAAGUGUAUUAUCCAGCACUAUCUUCCCCAUCUAACCUGAUUAUCACAUUUCUAUGGUCCCUCAUGAUGUUCAUACCAUCCCAUCUUGUUUUUCAUGCAUUGGUCGAUUCCUUAAUUAGAUACUUCCACGGCGAUCGUAACUCUAGUGCUGGCCUAUCAUUAAUUAGAUUUUCUUGUUUUUGCCUUCUUAAAAUCUCAGUAGUCUCCUCAAUUAUGGCCUGGGAUUUAAUAGCGAGUGGUUUAAUAACUGAGGUUUAAUAACGAGUGGUAUAAGAAUAAAUCAAUGGAUCCAUCAUUAGAUUCUACCACUUUGUGUUUGAUGCAGUAUGGCCCAAGUAAUUCUUGCACUACUAAAUCCUACAAAACAACAAAAAAAUCAGUGAUCAAAGAAUUAUGUUGAUGCAGCCUGGUAGAGAAAAUUGAUGUUUUAUAAUUAUAUGUAAUAAAAAG